AUUGAACGCUGGCGGCAUGCUUUACACAUGCAAGUCGAACGGCAGCGCGGGCUUCGGCCUGGCGGCGAGUGGCGAAUGGGUGAGUAAUGCAUCGGAACGUGCCCAGUAGUGGGGGAUAGCCCGGCGAAAGCCGGAUUAAUACCGCAUACGACCUGAGGGUGAAAGCGGGGGACCGAAAGGCCUCGCGCUAUUGGAGCGGCCGAUGUCGGAUUAGCUAGUUGGUGGGGUAAAGGCUUACCAAGGCGACGAUCCGUAGCUGGUCUGAGAGGACGACCAGCCACACUGGGACUGAGACACGGCCCAGACUCCUACGGGAGGCAGCAGUGGGGAAUUUUGGACAAUGGGGGCAACCCUGAUCCAGCCAUGCCGCGUGCGAGAAGAAGGCCUUCGGGUUGUAAACCGCUUUUGUUCGGGAAGAAAUCCUCUGGGCUAAUACCCCGGGGGGAUGACGGUACCGGAAGAAUAAGCACCGGCUAACUACGUG
rnacentral:rRNA from 1 species